rnacentral:rRNA from 1 species
AGUGAACGCUGGCGGUAGGCCUAACACAUGCAGGUCGAACGGCAGCACAGUAAGAGCUUGCUCUUACGGGUGGCGAGUGGCGGACGGGUGAGGAAUACAUCGGAAUCUACUUUUUCGUGGGGGAUAACGUAGGGAAACUUACGCUAAUACCGCAUACGACCUACGGGUGAAAGCAGGGGAUCUUCGGACCUUGCGCGAUUGAAUGAGCCGAUGUCGGAUUAGCUAGUUGGCGGGGUAAAGGCCCACCAAGGCGACGAUCCGUAGCUGGUCUGAGAGGAUGAUCGGCCACACUGGAACUGAGACACGGUCCAGACUCCUACGGGAGGCAGCAGUGGGGAAUAUUGGACAAUGGGCGCAAGCCUGAUCCAGCCAUACCGCGUGGGUGAAGAAGGCCUUCGGGUUGUAAAGCCCUUUUAUUGGGAAAGAACAGCAGCAGGUUAAUACCCCGCUGUUCUGACGGUACCCAAAGAAUAAGCCCCGGCUAACUUCGUG